GGGGGCGUAAUGGUUUCGACAGGGGUGGUUGUGGCAUAGGUAGCGAGCCGGGAUUCCAUCAGCCCGUCAAUACGGUGGAAAGUUAUAAAUGCAAACAACGAAUACGCUUUAGCAGCUUAAUGCUAACGUUCUACCGUCCCUCUUCCUGUGGGGAAGGCUAGGACGUCACAAUGCAGGAUACCUGAGGUCUAAUUCUCCGCGGACCAACUGGGAAAUUUUAAAGAGAUAGCGCCAGCGAAGCUUGUCUGUAAGCGUCAAUGGGGCGAAAUCUAAAAUACAGAAUGCGCUCGGAGAAGCCUAUGUAGUGAUGCCUUUGGACAGGAGUUCGAUUCUCCUCGCCUCCACCA
rfam:Pelosinus sp. TFO1, complete genome.